AGAGUUUGAUCAUGGCUCAGAACGAACGCUGGCGGCGCGUCUUAAACAUGCAAGUCGAACGAUCUGUAGCAAUACAGGGAGUGGCGGACGGGUGAGGAACACGUAGGAAUCUACCUUGAAGAGCGGGACAACUUUGGAAACCGGGGCUAAUACCGCAUAGUACAGAGAUGUUAAAGGGCUAGCAAUAGUCGCUUCGAGAUGAGCCUGCGGUCUAUCAGCUUGUUAGUGAGGUAAUGGCUCACCAAGGCUACGACGGAUAGCCGGUCUGAGAGGAUGAUCGGCCACACUGGCACUGAGACACGGGCCAGACUCCUACGGGAGGCAGCAGUUAAGAAUCUUGCGCAAUGGGGGAAACCCUGACGCAGCGACGCCGCGUGAAGGAUGAAGGCUUUCGGGUUGUAAACUUCGGUAGACUGGGAAGAAGAACUACGUUCGUUGAGGGCGUAGAGUGACGGUACCAGUCUGAAGCCCCGGCUAAUUACGUG
rnacentral:rRNA from 1 species